CUACGUACCCUGCUGUCCAAAUGACGGCACUGAGUCAGUGAGAGGUUUCAUAACUUGCCCAAGGCCACAGAGCUGGAUGGAGAAAGACUGCAGAGAUUCAAACCCAGGCCUGCUGACGUGCAGAGCCAAUGAGAAUAUAUUAUCUUGCAGUGCAGUUUAUGGGAUAUAUGUGUCCCUUUGGGAAUUCCUGGGUGUCUGCUGGUGGCCUGUUAACUUGGUUCUUGAAUAUGCACUUUGCUUUUAACUGUGCAGUUUGAAAACAGUGACUCAUCCCCAAACUAGGCAGGGUUGAGUAUCUGUUCUGUUUAUCUUCCACAUGCCACCUGCACUAACUUCUGAAGAUAAUCUAUAAUAAAAGCACUGUGAUUAAAAAACAGAAAAACACACACCACAAAUGUAUAGGUUUGUCUGUUGGUGCUUCUGAGAAGAAAAUAAACUCAUGAAUGUCAUUAACUUUAAAAAAAUCACAUCUACUUAAGGUUUAAUGACUGAAGCCAACUUUCUAACAUAUCUGUACAGUUCUCUGAACAUACUAUUUUCACACUUAACUACGAUGUUGUCAUUUGUUUCUGUUUGAUUCUGCAAGGGCAGAGACCUUGAAAUAUUCAAAUCUGGAUUCCCCCAUGGUUUGACCCAACUGAAGUCAGGCAGUGUUCGCUGAAAGAAAUAAAGGUGUUUCCAUAA
rnacentral:lncRNA from 1 species